ACGGAAUGGAAUUGCUGAUUCAGGAGGAAGUAAACAUUCACAAGGCACCUGGGAUACAUUGGAAAUCUACACUCCAGAAAUUUCCCGUAAAUGGACAUCCCGUCUGUAAGGCCCUGCCCGCCACCACUGUGCUGCCUGCCCGCCUGCCGCGUCUAGCACAGUGGACCCAACUGGUCUGCGGCCCAGCCGCCCCUCAGCCUAACUCAAAGCUGGUCCUGAAGGCACGAGGAGGUGGGCACCACCUUUGUCAAGAAAUGUCAUCGAGAAACCAGGGCAUUCCCUCCAGGACUCCCUCAGGUCCAUCAACGCUCACGUGAUGCAGGUGCCAUGCGCCAGCAUCCUGGGCCGUCUGUGCCCAACCCGAGGUCCCGAUCCUUGUGGUCUGUUACCACCGUUCCCAGGCCUUCGCACCCACUGCCAGCUUUGGGAUGAGGUCGCUUCUGUCUGCAUGGGCCCCAGGAGCUCUGCUUUCUCUCAUUGUGCACGCUGAGGUCACACACUGAGUUGCAUGUCCACGAAGGCCUUUCGUCACACAGGGCUCCACCGCACACGUCCCUGAGACACACCUGCAAGGUCGGGCUAGCGGGCCACCCUCUGCCUUCCAUUUCUGGAGCUUUUUCCUUGUUUAUUUAGGGACGCAGAAACAAAACAGGCUGAUCAGACACCACCAUGAAAGGCAUUAGUAGGUUAAAAGCAAAAGCAGGUGAAAAGCUCAUCCAUGCACUGUCUUCAGCAGAGACAACACAGUCCCACCUCAUGCAGGGACUCUCCUGCACCCCCUGGGGGACCCCAAAGCACCCCCUAGACACAAGCUUCCCCAGACACCCAGGAUCCUUCCCAAGGCACCUUCAAACUGUGGCCAUCGUUUGCAUGAAGGACGGUACAAAGGAGAAUAGACCGGUGGGUUUGCGGAAGCCAGCCUGGUCUCCUCCAGGACGGGAUGUGGAUCUGAAGUCAUCCCUACCAAAUGACAAGCCUAUCGAUAGCCGGGUUGCUAUAACCAGGUGACCCGGGUCACUAGACACACUGCUUGUAAGGAAGGUGGUCUGUCCCCCGUGCAGUUUCCAGUCUGCAGAACAGCAGCGCCGUGAAGGACACGGGAGCAGAGGCCGAGGAAGACGUGCUUCCCCAUGAUGCUGUUAGAGCAGGAGAAGUCCCGAGGGGACCGUGAACGUGGGCCGUGUAGAGCCCACCUGCCAGCGACAGACGUGCAGUGACAUUGGGGGCGGGACCCUGCGGUGGACACUGUGGCAUUUCCAGGCCUGGACUGUCCACAGAGAACGACCAGGACAGAGUCGAAAACAUACCGAGUAGGAAGUAGCUGCAGAUCAAGGACCUGUUUGCACAAAAUGCAGAGCUGUUCAGAGAAACAAGUGUCAUCGGGACAUGUUGGCCGUUACUUGGCAUGAAAGUUUCAAGGUGGCUGCUCAGUGCGAGGGUGUGAUGAAAGGGACGCCCUGAGCUGUGCCUGCUCCUCAGAGCCCAUUCUGGAAUGGACACCAGUCAGCGGGACUCGUCUUUUAAGCACCGCCUCCUGUCUCCCGCCAACUCUGCAUGCGGCCUGCGGUGCCUGAGGGAGGCGUUCUUUACCGCGUUUUGUGCUUCUUUCUUCUCCCGGUUAACCAGGCCUAUUUCUCCGGGAGUGAGGUGUGAGAACAGGUGCGCUCCCUGGAGAAGGCCGGGUCCUUCCUGUCAUUGGUUCUUGGACAAUUUCACCCUUUAGGACCCCUCCUCUCUCCUGCUAAAAUCCAGAAGAAGUAGAGAAAAGUGUCCUUAGCCCAAUGACUAACGCACCUGCAACUUUCUGGCUUCCUUAUCAACCUCUCAACCCCAGGAACAGUGAACCCUGGAUCAACAUAUCAGUCGAGGUCGACUUGGAUUUGGAUUACAAAUUGCAAUCAUCUGAGAGGUGAGCCGUUGGCAUGGACACCUGACUGUUUUCUGCAGCUGAGGAUUAACGGACACACCGCCUGAGCACCUUCUCCGUCCGACACCUCUGCGCAUGCCGCCCACAGAUGAGAAAUCCGGCUCGGAGACAUGUUGAAAGGGCCGAAAUGCCUUCGCUAAAGAUGGACACACAAAGCCAUCCUCUGCAUGACGAAGAUUCGGUGGCAACAAGUGUGGGGAAGCGCGGAGACCGCGCGGAGCGAUUGUGAGGGGCUCUGCUGGAAUUUGGCAGCGCGGAGGCUUGGAGAACAGCCCCAUGCUGGCUCCCAUUCAGCAGGCCAGUUUUCCUCGAGCUUUGGAAGUUUCGCUCAGCCGUGCACUCAAUGGCUUCACAAAGCUGAUUACAAGCUUCAGCGCAUUCCUGAAGGAGCCAAAAGCGACGCAGGUGCAAACGAGCCGAGGGAGCCCCUUAUCCCGGUGACAGAAUGGGACAAGCUGGGAAAGGCUUGGACCACACAAAUCCAAGCUCACCAGGCAGCAGAAAGCCUGCCUUGGGAACCGGGGGUCAUUAUCCGCCCUAUUCAGCGGGGCCCAGGGACCCUGGGGGCCCGGAGGCCAGCCCGCGCGGGAGCGCCAGUGCGCCUUGGGGCUGUGGGGACCCCGCCAGGGCCUGGGGCCGGGCCGGGGCGCCGGGUGGAGGGCCGUGCCUCUGCACCCGCGGCUUCGGUAAAAUCUGUGCUCCGACGUGCCCAUAUCAACACCAGUAGGGACACAGGAGAAAAAGCGCGCCAGACGCAACCGGGUG